UAUUCACAAGGAAGGAAAGAAAGAAAGAAAGAAAGAAAAAAGAAAAAAUACAAAAUACUGGAUUCUGUCACUUGCAUUUGUGUCACAGCAUAACGACAAUUGAUUUAGCAUCACAAUAUUCUCUCUCUCACCUCCUUUGAAUGAUUUUAGUAGUUGGAAAAAA
rnacentral:ribozyme from 15 species